rnacentral:rRNA from 1 species
UACAGAGGUCUCAAGCGUUGUUCGGAUUUAUUGGGCGUAAAGGGUGCGUAGGUGGUGCUGAAAGUUAGGUGUGAAAGUCCGAGGCUUAACCUCGAAAUUGCACCUAAUACUCCAGUGCUAGAGUCCCAUAGAGGAAUCUGGAAUUCACGGUGUAGCAGUGAAAUGCGUAGAUAUCGUGAAGAAGGCCUGUGGCGAAAGCAAGAUUCUGGGUGGCGACUGACACUGAGGCACGAAAGCCAGGGGAGCAAACGGG